GGCCGCAGUAUUUUAACUGUGCAAAGGUAGCAUAAUCAUUAGUCUCUUAAUUGAAGGCUUGUAUGAAUGGUUGAACAAAGUAUUAGCUGUUUCAUUUUAAUUUAUAGAAUUUUACUUUUUAGUUAAAAGGCUAAAAUAUAUUUAAAAGACAAGAAGACCCUAUAGAUCUUUAUAAAGUGAGUAGUUAUUAUUACUAAGAAUAUUUUAUUUUUAAUUAUUUAACUUAUUUUGUUGGGGUGACAUUGAGAUUUAUUUAACUCUUAAUUUUUUUUUAUACAUUUAUUUAUGAAUAAUUGAUCCUUUAUUAUAGAUUAAAAAUUUAAGUUACCUUAGGGAUAACAGCGUAAUUUUUUUGGAGAGUUCAUAUCGAUGAANNNNNUUGCCACCUCGAUGUUGGAUUAA
rnacentral:rRNA from 1 species